AGUGAACGCUGGCGGUAGGCCUAACACAUGCAAGUCGAACGGCAGCACAGUAAGAGCUUGCUCUUACGGGUGGCGAGUGGCGGACGGGUGAGGAAUACAUCGGAAUCUACUUUUUCGUGGGGGAUAACGUAGGGAAACUUACGCUAAUACCGCAUACGACCUACGGGUGAAAGCAGGGGAUCUUCGGACCUUGCGCGAUUGAAUGAGCCGAUGUCGGAUUAGCUAGUUGGCGGGGUAAAGGCCCACCAAGGCGACGAUCCGUAGCUGGUCUGAGAGGAUGAUCAGCCACACUGGAGCUGAGACACGGUCCAGACUCCUACGGGAGGCAGCAGUGGGGAAUAUUGGACAAUGGGCACAAGCCUGAUCCAGCCAUACCGCGUGGGCGAAGAAGGCCUUCGGGUUGUAAAGCCCUUUUGUUGGGAAAGAAAAGCAGCAGGUUAAUACCCCGCUGUUCUGACGGUACCCAAAGAAUAAGCACCGGCUAACUUCGU
rnacentral:rRNA from 1 species